UACGUAGGGUGCGAGCGUUGUCCGGAAUUAUUGGGCGUAAAGAGCUUGUAGGUGGUUUGUCGCGUCUGCUGUGAAAAUCCGAGGCUCAACCUCGGACUUGCAGUGGGUACGGGCAGACUAGAGUGUGGUAGGGGAGACUGGAAUUCCUGGUGUAGCGGUGGAAUGCGCAGAUAUCAGGAGGAACACCGAGUGGCGAAGGC
rnacentral:rRNA from 1 species